rnacentral:tRNA from 1 species
GCGCCUGUCGUAUAACGGCUAUUACCCAAGCCUUCCAAGCUUGUGAUGUGGGUUCGAUUCCCAUCGGGCGCU